AACGAGGCCGACCUGCGGCUGAGUUACCUGCGGAGGGAUCAUUACCGAGUUAGGGUAGUUACUCGCUGCCCGACCUCCCAACCCUGUGUCUACCACACUUUGUCGUUGCUUCGGCGGACCGGUCGACAACUGGUCGUGACCGCCGGGGGCUGGCUCUGUCACCCCUGGAGAGCGUCCGCCGAUGGCCCAACCUCAAACUCUUGUACCGAAACGUGUCGUCUGAAUAAUUGAGAAAUCAAA
rnacentral:misc_RNA from 1 species